UUGGUUUGAAAUUAAGAUAUUUAUAACAUUGUAAUUUACCGAGUUCUAUUUUUGUGAGUUAGAGAGUUUAUCCUUUGUUUGCAUAAGAUAUCAUAUUACUAUGGUAUUCUUUUUAUCAGUUCAUUUAUUUGAUGUGUUUAGAAAAGAGACGCCAUUAUGUUAUGUUUGAAGCUAGGAACCAUUAUCUUGUGAAAUUAUGCCAUGGACUAAGUCAAUUUGUUCAAUCCCGUUCGUUUUUUUUAUGUAUCCUAAUAUAUAUACUUAUGUUUUUUCAAGUAAUUGAAUGAGAAGAAUCAAGAGAUGAAUAAGGAUCAUGAAGCAACAUGACAUACUCUGGAUUAGUUUUUUUCCUUUUAGAGUUUCAAGUUAUUUAAUUAAAUUUUUUAUGUAUGGAUGUUGUCACUAUCAAAUUAAUUAUAUGAAUGAGAUUAAAUUAUUUAUAUACUUGUCACCAUUGAAUUAAUUAUAUGAAUCUUAUUUAAUAAGCCAUCUAAAGGAAUAAAAAAAAAAUUAAAUUCAUAUUUAAAAAAAAUGUUUGCGACGGUUUUGUAACUGUCGCAACCUCUGAUAUUAAAUCCAGUGUUAGAUAUAGGGACGGUUUGGAACCGUUGCAAGAACAACUGCGACGGUUGUAACGACGGUUUUCAAAACCGUUGCAAAGUACUCUUGCGACACACAAAUCAGCAACGGUUAGACAACCGUCGCAGAUGUGUAAUUGCGACAGUUGCAACCGUUGCAAACUGCAAUUUUAACCGUCGCAAAGUACUUAUUUUCUUGUAGUG
rnacentral:lncRNA from 1 species